CAGUCGCCGCGGUAAUACGUAGGGUCCGAGCGUUGUCCGGAAUUAUUGGGCGUAAAGGGCUCGUAGGCGGUUUGUCGCGUCGGGAGUGAAAACCAGCAGCUUAACUGCUGGCCUGCUUUCGAUCCGGGCAGACUUGAGGCAUUCAGGGGAGAACGGAAUUCCUGGUGUAGCGGUGAAAUGCGCAGAUAUCAGGAGGAACACCGGUGGCGAAGGCGGUUCUCUGGGAAUGUUCUGACGCUGAGGAGCGAAAGUGUGGGGAGCGAACAGGAUUAGAUACCCCCGUAGUCCCUGUCUCUUAUAC
rnacentral:rRNA from 1 species